AUGGCAGAAUCAUAUUCCUACAGGGUAGGAAAGAAGGUUGCCGGCUCCAGCAAGACUAGUGCGGACAAGGACAGCGGCAAGACAGAGAUGAAGAUAAACCCAGCGUAUGAGGAAUCAAGCUUGGGAAAUGCAACCAAUGACAGAGCAGAAGGCAAAAGGAAAGGGAGACCAAAGGCGGACAGCCAGGCGCUGAAGGAUAUUCCUCCACCCUUGAUGAACCAGUGGAAAGAUGAGUUCAAGGCCCAUUCCAGGGUGAAGUGCCCCAAUUCAGGCUGUUGGCUGGAAUUCCCCAGCAUCUACGGCCUCAAAUACCACUACCAGCGCUGCCAAGGGGUAAGGAAAACUGAGGAUGCCGUCGUGGAGAAACGGACCUUCCCCUGUCCGUACUGUGAAGCCACUUUCACUUCCAAAACCCAGCUGGAAAAGCACCACCUGUGGAACCAUCUCGAGAGGACCCUGCCAGCCGUGGCCCCGCCGGCGGAAAACAGAGUGCAGAAAUCCGCUGGCAAAAGCGGGGGCAAGAAAAGACCUGCCGAGGGUUCCGCUUCGCCCGGCAGCCACCCCAAGCAGGCGAAGGUGGAGAAGGCUGUCACCCUGCAACGCCCGGAGAACGGCGAGUACACGGCGGUCAGCCAGGGCGGCAAAGAGUUCCAAACAACGGCAGCCAGAGGCGGAGGGGUGGCAGCUACCCCGGCCGCCCAGCCGUCGGGCAGCAGAGGCUCCAGGCAGCAGCCCCACCGGCAGGUCGUUGUGCAGGAGGAAGACCCUGAGCGGAUGAAGCACAGAAGGAAACAGAAAACUCCUAAGAAGUUUACUGGGGAGCAGCCGUCCAUCUCGGGAACAUUUGGACUGAAAGGGCUGGUGAAAGCAGAGGACAAGGCGAAAGCACACCGAGCAAAGAAGCUGGAGGCAGCCCUGAGCAGCAACGACGAGCAGAAAAAGAAGCCGCUGGGAUCCAGCGCGAAGAAGGAGGCGGCGCCGACAGCUGCGGCAGCUUCCUCGACAACAGCGAGCCCAGAAGAACUGUGGCAGCGUACAAUCAAUGAGAAAGGAGAGGUUGCCUGCCCAACCUGCAGCAUGAUCACCAGGAAGACGAUUCUUGGUCUCAAGAAGCACAUGGAAGUCUGCCAAAAAUUGCAGGAUGCCUUGAAAUGCCAGCACUGCAAGAAGCAAUUCAAGUCCAAAGCUGGGCUGAAUUAUCACACCAUGGCUGAACAUGUCAACAAGCCUGUACCUGUGGAAACCACGAUCCCGCUGACCGAACACGAAGAGCGCGAGAGGCUGAGAAGGGUGCUGAAGCAGAUGGGGAAGCUAAAAUGCCCCAACGAGGGGUGUGUGGCUACAUUCUCCAGCCUCAUGGGGUACCAGUACCACCAGAAGCGGUGUGGGAAGCAGCCGUCCGAGGUGGAGAAACCAGUCUUCAGCUGCCCACACUGUGGGAAGACUUAUAAGUCGAAAGCUGGGCAUGACUACCACUUGCGCUCAGAGCAUCCCCCUAUGCCUCCUCAGAAGCAGGAGACGAAACCUGAAGCCAGCCUGGUGGAGGAUUUUGAAAGGACCCCGAGCGGCAGGAUCCGCCGCACGUCUGCCCAGGUGGCUGUCUUCCACUUGCAGGAAAUCGCCGAGGAUGAGCUGGCCAAAGACUGGACCAAGCGGAGGAUGAAGGACGACCUGGUCCCUGAGACGAAGCGGCUAAAUUACACCCGUCCUGGUCUUCCGAAGCUGAAUCCUACACUCCUGGAGUCCUGGAAAAACGAAGUGAAGGAGAAAGGCCACAUCAACUGUCCCAACCACUGCUGCGCAGCCAUCUAUUCCAGCGUGUCUGGUUUGAAAGCCCACCUUGCAAACUGCAACAAGGGAGAACAUUCCGUGGGGAAAUACCGUUGUCUUCUGUGUCAGAAGGAGUUUAGCUCAGAAAGUGGAGUCAAAUACCACAUCAUUAAGACUCACUCAGAGAACUGGUUCCGAACCUCUGCAGAGGCCAUCCGGAAGAAAAAGAGCAGGGAACAGUCCUCUCCCAGCCACACAGAGGAGAAGAAGAAAAGCACAGAUGGGAAAAAACGGGGGCGCAAGCCGAAGGAAAGACUUCCAGAGGCUUUCGCCAAAAGCAAAGAGAGCACGGCUGGAAAGACUAACCAUAAAAAAAUGACAGGGUCGUGGCAGGCCAUGGACUGCAAUCCGGAUGGGCGCGAGAAAGGUAGCAAGACCUCUCCGAGCAAGAAGGGGGCAGCCCAUAAAAUGCUGGAGAAAUAAGUGGCUGAGAAGAAAGGAAAACUCUUUAAUGAUCAGUUUACAGCCCAGGGCAAUGGGGCGGGGGGGCGACUCCCCGCUCGCCAAGCCCCAGCCCACCUCUGCUCACCCCUUUUUUAAACAAGAAGCCACUUCAAAGCAUAAUCAUGGACAUUUGUUUUCGCGUUGGAAAGAAGAAAACAAGCGUGUCGGCCGAGACGAAUCUUCUGUUGAGAACCUGCACAGACUGUACAUACACCUGUGCUUGUGCGCUCCCGUGCGUUGCACGCUCCAUCCAUGGACCGGCCGCUAACGAGACGGUUGCUGGUGGGGACCUUCAUUCUACUUUUCCUCUUUCAUCUGUCCUUGAAACUGACACCAGUUGACCGAGGAAGAGCAAACGGGUGUUGCUUGAGCAAAGGGAGAGCAAAGUGCAAUAGGAACCCAGGUAGUUCAGAAGGUGGGAUGGUGCUGCCACCUUUCUCCACCACUUGUGUAUCUGCUGGAGGUGCUAGAAAACCGUGCCAAAUCUUUUCAUUCUGAGAUGAUGGCAGAGGAGCAGAAAUUCUUCUUUCCUGCACUGAGCCGAACGGAUCUGUGGCAUAUCCCCAGCGCCUCCAACUCGUUCCUCUCCAGCCUUUCUAAUGUGUGCAGAACUAAUCGCCAUUUUAAUAGGCCUCGCCUAGGAGAAACUCUGGAUGGAAACUGUGCCCCCCCCCU